UACGUAGGGAGCAAGCGUUGUCCGGAAUCAUUGGGCGUAAAGCGCGCGUAGGCGGCCCUGUAAGUCCGCUGUGAAAGUCAAAGGCUCAACCUUUGAAAGCCGGUGGAUACUGCAGGGCUAGAGUCCGGAAGAGGCGAGUGGAAUUCCUGGUGUAGCGGUGGAAUGCGCAGAUAUCAGGAGGAACGCCGGUGGCGAAGGCGGCUUCCUGGACCGACACUGACGCUGAGGCGCGAAAGCUAGGGGAGCAAACGGG
rnacentral:rRNA from 1 species